AGCGAACGCUGGCGGCAGGCCUAACACAUGCAAGUCGAACGAACCUUUCGGGGUUAGUGGCGGACGGGUGAGUAACACGUGGGAACGUGCCUUUAGGUUCGGAAUAACUCAGGGAAACUUGUGCUAAUACCGAAUGUGCCCUUCGGGGGAAAGAUUUAUCGCCUUUAGAGCGGCCCGCGUCUGAUUAGCUAGUUGGUUGAGGUAAUGGCUCACCAAGGCGACGAUCAGUAGCUGGUCUGAGAGGAUGAUCAGCCACAUUGGGACUGAGACACGGCCCAAACUCCUACGGGAGGCAGCAGUGGGGACUCUUGCGCAAUGGGCGAAAGCCUGACGCAGCCAUGCCGCGUGAAUGAUGAAGGUCUUAGGAUUGUAAAAUUCUUUCACCGGGGACGAUAAUGACGGUACCCGGAGAAGAAGCCCCGGCUAACUUCGUG
rnacentral:rRNA from 1 species